UUUCCGUAGGUGAACCUGCGGAAGGAUCAUUAAUAUAUAACCUAUUUUCGAGCGUUGUCGCUUACCCGACAAUUCUUGCACGCCCGAUUGCGCUCACAUGCAUCCCUCCCACCCCUAUGUGCACCACCAACUGGAUCCCACCUUUGCUUGUGCGAAGUGGUACUUACGAUUUCACACAAACUAUGAAUUCAGUGAAGAAUUUAUUUUUUGUUUUUACGAUAACGCAAUCAAUAAAACUUUCAACAACGGAUCUCUUGCCUCUCGCAUCGAUGAUCAACA
rnacentral:misc_RNA from 1 species